AAACCCACAAACCACUGAAAUCUCCAUAGAACACAAGUCAGAUAGUAAUAAUGAUUCAGAGGAUUUAACAGGGCUGCUGAGAGGUUUCCUGUACCUCACACUGUCAUCUCUAGCUGUCCCUGCAUGGGGGCAAGUAAAGCUUUUGCACCUGAGACUUUCUAAACCAGGCUAUGUGAAACACCACAAUAUACAAGAACUGAUUCUGUUUGAAUUGUCUAGGUUAACUGCAGUUGCUUCUGGAUGCUCAGGGAUUUAAAAAAGCUCCCAUGAAGGAAACUCUCCUGGAAUCCUCAUGGGAAACUAACUUUGCCUUUGUAUGCUAUUCAUGCUUUUCUCCUGAGCAAGAGCAUGGUGAUAACUUCUGCUGGCCAAUGGAGGCAUUUUGCUUCUGUGGAACGGAUUUCUACCUGCCUUGUGAGAAGAGAUGGAGCUUGACCUAUGAAAAAUAUAAAUCAUCCCUCCAGAAAAAGGCUUUCCUUCUCACCCUAUUUGCACAGCUGUGAUCAGCAGAGUUUUUUGAACAGAAGAUCACUGUCUUUAAGGAAGCAAUGCUCACUAUAGGAACCUUCUGGAAUUCACAUUUGUACUGGGUCCCCAAAUGUCUAAUAUGAUGAACUUCCAGGGGCAGCCCACCAUAGUGAGCAAGCAUUUGAAGAAGGUUUGAGUUUGGCUACGAGAUAAGGAAAUUCAGUCAUUCUGUAUGUACUGAGUUUUCCUCAUUUGACUGUAUUCUGGAACGUUCAGCUACUCUUAUUUACCUGGGUUGACUUUUAAGCUCUCAUACAGGUAACUGGCAGUUAGAGACCUGAACAAGUUACCUGUGCUGUUUUAGAUGGCCUGUGGUAACUGAGACACAUCACAGGUCAUACAUGUGAGAGAACAAACCAUACUAUUCUGAAAGAGUACUUGGAUACUCUAUUGCCACUUUGGACACCGAUAUUCAAAUACUUGAAUGUCAGAUAUUUUCUUUUCUCUUUUUAGCAUGUAAUUGUUUGGAUUCAUCUUUCUUUUUUGGUGAUUUUUGUUGUUUUGUUUUUUCCCUAGAACAGGCUACUUAGAUCUCAAUACAUUUGCUUAUCCUUAUGCUGGGUUCCAAGUUUUCUUGUUCAACCUUUACUAGAUUAAAACCAUGAACACUUUGGGUAAUUCUUUCUCUUUUAACUGUUUCAUGUUACAUCUUUGUAUAUAAAACAGUAGCUGCAUCUAUCUCACUCAGUACACAUUCUCAGAACUCAUGAGGAGAUUGUCAAAAUAUAGUAAGAUGUAGGCCACUUUUUCAUCUUUAUCAAUGCACUUAAUCAAUGGUGUUCUGUGUCCCUGAUUAUAGUUAUGUGUCACUAAAUGGAUAGGUCUUGGCAGUGGUUUCUGAGCCCUGAAAGAAGGCCUCUAAACAUCAUCCUGUGCCCUAGCACACACAUCUUGUCUGGCUUUCACCGUCUUCUCUGAAAGACUGAGAUGUUCCCAGAUGUUCCCAGUCAGAGCUGCCAGCUCAGCAGUCCACCAAGAGCCAACAGAGAAUUUGAAAGUGCAAGAAAACUUGUAAUUUAGGUGCCCAAUUGGCAUACAUAUGAAUUCUUUCACCUUGAUCCCUUCCCAUGAGGGGAUUGGUAGCUGGGUAGCCUGCAUCUUUUCUUCUCCUGUCCUUGAGAUGAUCUUAAGGUUCUAUAUCUGAACAGUUUCCAUAAUAAUAAAGCACACUGAGCUCUGGCCACAGAAGCUUGUCUUGUAUACAGUACUCUUAAGAGUACUGCUUAACCCUACAGCUCAGGUCAUCUGUCAAGGGUCUUCUGUGCAUCUUUAUUUUUACCAGGCAUUUCAUCCUGUGACCAGUUGUUGGGGUAAAGUUGGCUUUGUCUUUGUUGUACGUCACAAAGUUGUAUAUUUAUUUAAUACUGAAUUCUUAGACUCUAUUACUGUUGGUUGCCUUUGUUCUUUGUGAGCCAAAAUAUACCUUACUGCUGACAGACAAAGGUUACUCAGUGAUUCUGUGCCAGGAGUGGAAGAGAGCUUAGUAGGAGAAGGUCAGACACUGCGUUAUUUAGGGUAAUUUUCUUCCUUCUCCUCCUCUGCUUCCCCCAGCAAUGUCUGCACAUGGGGAUGGGUGCAGGCAUAGGAGCAUACUGGCAUGUGGGAGCAACCUUUUCUAGGAACAAUUUUGGAGUGGGGUUAAACGGGGCUGGCUAGAUUUUCCAACCUUCAUUCUGAUUCAUGGCAGUUUGGGGCAGGGUAAAUAUAAUGUUAUUUGUAAUUAAAUAUGUACAGCAGUGUGGACCUUCUCAAAGCUCCUCUGCGCUGCCCACGUGGUGAGCCCCAGGCAGUGCCAUCUAGCUCAGAAGAAUAAACAAACCAUUCAAGACCUUUGUUUGCCGGUGAGUCAUGAGGGGGCUGUUCACUGGAGUAUUAAGAAAGAUAAACAUACGGCAAAACUCUAAAGACUAUUUCUGGAAACCUUAACUGGAGGGAACAGCUAAUCCAUUGUUCAGAGUCUGCAGAGUAUUACAAGGCUGGAGAGAGGAAUGGAAGCAGGAGAGAAGCAAAAAAGCAAAAACCUGAGAGAUCAAAAAUUCAGAAUGGUUGUAAUUACCCAUGCAAGCACAAGGGCUUUGCGGGAAGAGGGGGAUGACUGACACAGGGGACUUGUGGGACAGCCUGAAUCCGAGUGCAGUCAUAACAGGAGUCAAUUGUUGCUCGUCUCCUCUGGAAGUAAACAGGGAAUAUCAUACAUUAUUUAUCUGUUUAUCCAAGGGGAAAAAAUAUUUGUUAGAGAUGAAUGACAAUCAUUUACUGCUUGCAGUUAGUAGAAAGCCAGUAAGUCAUUUCCCUCAUACAAUCCAGCUGAAGGUUCAGAGAGGAUGUUGUACCUAAAAAUGCAAAGGCCUUAGUAUUUUUUGUCCACAUGGUUCUGUUAAAAAGGAUCAACUUCCCUUUCACUAUUCAUUCUAUCUUCCGCUGUUUUAAUACCUUCACUGAUUACUCUAAAUGCACUCAAAAAGCUUGUGUCACCCCUUGAGAAGCAGCAAUGCCAGGCCCCCAGCAUUCCCUGCAGAGCAGAUGUGAUCUUUCUCCUUCAGGGCAGUCCCUGAAAACCUGGCAGCUCUGUGCUGGUGCAAGACUUGAGUCCCUCUGUUCUUUUCUCUGUUAUACUGAAGAAUGAUAUGGAGCUAUAAAAAUUUCAAUAAAAUAAUUGCAGGUGUUCAAUG
ensembl:lncRNA